AACGAACGCUGGCGGCAGGCUUAACACAUGCAAGUCGAACGGGUGUAGCAAUACAUCAGUGGCAGACGGGUGAGUAACACGUGGGAACCUUCCUAGGGGUACGGAACAACUCAGGGAAACUUGAGCUAAUACCGUAUACGUCCGUGAGGAGAAAGAUUUAUCGCCCUUAGACGGGCCCGCGUCGGAUUAGCUAGUUGGUGGGGUAACGGCCUACCAAGGCGACGAUCCGUAGCUGAUCUUAGAGGAUGAUCAGCCACACUGGGACUGAGACACGGCCCAGACUCCUACGGGAGGCAGCAGUGGGGAAUCGUGGACAAUGGGCGCAAGCCUGAUCCAGCCAUGCCGCAUGAGUGAAGAAGGUCUUCGGAUUGUAAAGCUCUUUUGCCAGGGACGAUAAUGACGGUACCUGGAGAAUAAGCCCCGGCAAACUUCGUGCCAGCCGCCGCCGUAA
rnacentral:rRNA from 1 species